GCGGCGAUAGCUCAGACGGCAGAGCACCCGGUUGUGGUCCGGGAGGUCGGUGGGUUCGAUUCCCCCUCGUCGCC
rnacentral:tRNA from 1 species